rnacentral:rRNA from 1 species
UACGGAGGGUGCAAGCGUUAUCCGGAUUCACUGGGUUUAAAGGGUGCGUAGGAGGGCAGGUAAGUCAGUGGUGAAAUCCUAGAGCUUAACUCUAGAACUGCCGUUGAUACUAUCUGUCUUGAAUAUUGUGGAGGUGAGCGGAAUAUGUCAUGUAGCGGUGAAAUGCUUAGAUAUGACAUAGAACACCAAUUGCGAAGGCAGCUCGCUACACAUAUAUUGACUCUGAGGCGAAGACGUGGGGAUCAAACAGGG